UACGUAGGGGGCUAGCGUUGUCCGGAUUUAUUGGGCGUAAAGAGCGUGUAGGCGGCCAGGUAGGUCUGGUGUGAAAACUCGAGGCUUAACCUCGAGAUGUCAUCGGAAACCAUCUGGCUAGAGUCCGGAAGAGGAGAGUGGAAUUCCUGGUGUAGCGGUGAAAUGCGCAUAUAUCAGGAAGAACACCAAUGGCGAAGGCGGCUCUCUGGGGUAUUUCUGACGCUGAGGCACGAAAGCCAGGGGAGCGAACGGG
rnacentral:rRNA from 1 species